GACGAACGCUGGCGGCGUGCCUAACACAUGCAAGUCGAACGGAACUUCUUUAAAGGAUUUCUUCGGAAUGAAUUUGAUUAAGUUUAGUGGCGGACGGGUGAGUAACGCGUGAGUAACCUGCCUCUAAGAGGGGAAUAACAUUCUGAAAAGAAUGCUAAUACCGCAUAAUAUAUAUUUAUCGCAUGGUAGAUAUAUCAAAGAUUUAUCGCUUAGAGAUGGACUCGCGUCCGAUUAGUUAGUUGGUGAGGUAACGGCUCACCAAGACCGCGAUCGGUAGCCGGACUGAGAGGUUGAACGGCCACAUUGGGACUGAGACACGGCCCAGACUCCUACGGGAGGCAGCAGUGGGGGAUAUUGCGCAAUGGGGGAAACCCUGACGCAGCAACGCCGCGUGAAGGAUGAAGGUCUUCGGAUUGUAAACUUCUUUUAUUAAGGACGAAGAAAGUGAC
rnacentral:rRNA from 1 species